AGUGAACGCUGGCGGCGUGCCUAAUACAUGCAAGUCGAACGGAGUGGCGCACGGGUGCGUAAUGUAUAGCUAAUCUGCCCUCCACUAGAGGACAACAGUUGGAAACGGCUGCUAAUACUCUAUAGUGUAGGAUGAGGCUAUAUUGUAUCAGCUAGUUGGUGAGGUAAUGGCUCACCAAGGCUAUGACGCAUAACUGGUCUGAGAGGACGAUCAGUAAAACUGGAAGGGAGGCACGGUUCGGACUCCUACGGGAAGGAGCAAUAGGGAAAAUGGUUAAAUGGGGGAAAGCGUGAAGCGGCAUCGGCGCGUGGAGGAUGACACUUUGCGGAGCAGAAACUCGGUUUGUUAGGGAAGCGGUACCUAACGAAUAAGCACCGGCUAACUCCGUGCCAGCAGCCGCGGUAAUUC
rnacentral:rRNA from 1 species